CCCUUAGAUGUCCUGGCCGCACGCGCGCUACACUGACAUGUUCAACAAGCCUCCUAGUUCGACAGGAUUUGGGAAAUCUUUGAACGCAUGUCGUGAUAGGGAUAGAUCAUUGCAAUUAUUGAUCUUGAACGAGGAAUUCCUAGUAAACGCGAGUCAUCAGCUCGCAUUGAUUACGUCCCUGCCCUUUGUACACACCGCCCGUCGCACCUACCGAUUGAAUGUUUCGGUGAAGAUUCCGGAUAGGACUUUUUUGAUUUAUUUCAAUUCUGUCUUAAAAGCUAUCUAAACCUCAACAUUUAGAGGAAGGUGAAGUCGUAACA
rnacentral:rRNA from 1 species